rnacentral:lncRNA from 1 species
GUGCAGUGGCUAUGGGUGAUCUCUUUAUUUCCAAACACAUUCACUUCUCUGGGUUGACCAUAAAUCCAACCAUUGGUGGAGGUCCCAAGAGCUGUAUAUCUGGUUGCAGAAAAACUGAAAUUCUUUCAGCACUUGGUUGUUGGGCUUUUCACUGACAGAGAAUAAAGAAAGGCUAUAAGCUACAUAGCACAGUUCCAUUUGAGUCCUUCACACCCCCUUGUCCUGAAAGAACAACAACAAUCCUUUCUGUGCUCUUGCUGUAUCAGAGUCUGAGGUGGUCAUACUGUCACAUUUGGAUAACAACCCCUCAUUUAGCCCACACAUUUUUCCUGUGACCAGCUGUGUCAGUGCGUCAUUAUCCAUGACUGGAGAUAUAAAUGAAAUCAUGGGUUUUGCAAGCCUGAGCCAUUUCUGACAGAAACUUGUGCCCUUCCUGGGAAUCCAGCUGGAUAACCGUCUCUAACUGCAGAAGUCAUUAAAAAGCAAUGCAGUGGGAUCUCCAAUUGUUUGCACAAUUUCCUUCAUGAUUUGAGAUAAGAUGCUUUUAAUAAGAACAUGACUUGUUUUCCAAAAUGUUGUACUGAUUUGACGAGAGGGUUUGAGAAGGAGAAGUAGUGAAAAUGGAGAUGGAAAAAGUGGGUGAUGACAAAGAACUACAUGGAGAAGAUAAAAUGAGACCGUCAUGUCUAGAGCUCAUAUAACCACUUGAUUUAUGAUAAAAAUGAAACUGCAAACAGUGGGGAAAGAAUGAUCCUCACAAUGAAUGGUGCUGGAACAACUGGAUAUCUACAAGUAGGAAAAUGGUGCUGAAGGAAAGACAUUAGAUACAAAAUGAUUCACACAGUGUAUAUGGCAACUCAACAUAGAGCAGUACUUUUCAAAGUGUGCCCCACGGACCACCUGCAUUCAAGCCACCUGAGUGAUGGUUAAAGGUACAGAUUCCCAAGUCUGCUUUAGAUUCAUUGAUUCUCUAUGAGUGAAACCUAAGAAUCCACAUUUUUAUCAACUUUCCUACUUGAUUUUUUUUUUUGUACCGGGGAUCAAACUC